GGGUUGUGAGGUUAAGCGACUAAGCGUACACGGUGGAUGCCCUGGCAGUCAGAGGCGAUGAAGGACGUGCUAAUCUGCGAAAAGCGUCGGUAAGGUGAUAUGAACCGUUAUAGCCGGCGAUGUCCGAAUGGGGAAACCCAGUGCAAUUCGUUGCACUAUCGUUAACUGAAUACAUAGGUUAACGAGGCGAACCGGGGGAACUGAAACAUCUAAGUACCCCGAGGAAAAGAAAUCAACCGAGAUUCCCCCAGUAGCGGCGAGCGAACGGGGAGCAGCCCAGAGUCUGAAUCAGCUUGUGUGUUAGUGGAACGGUCUGGAAAGUCCGACGGUACAGGGUGAUAGUCCCGUACACCAAAAUGCACAGGCUGUGAACUCGAAGAGUAGGGCGGGACACGUGGUAUCCUGUCUGAAUAUGGGGGGACCAUCCUCCAAGGCUAAAUACUCCUGACUGACCGAUAGUGAACCAGUACCGUGAGGGAAAGGCGAAAAGAACCCCGGCGAGGGGAGUGAAAAAGAACCUGAAACCGUGUACGUACAAGCAGUGGGAGCACCUUCGGGUGUGACUGCGUACCUUUUGUAUAAUGGGUCAGCGACUUAUAUUCUGUAGCAAGGUUAACCGUAUAGGGGAGCCGCAGGGAAACCGAGUCUUAACUGGGCGUUAAGUUGCAGGGUAUAGACCCGAAACCCGGUGAUCUAGCCAUGGGCAGGUUGAAGGUUGGGUAACACUAACUGGAGGACCGAACCGACUAAUGUUGAAAAAUUAGCGGAUGACUUGUGGCUGGGGGUGAAAGGCCAAUCAAACCGGGAGAUAGCUGGUUCUCCCCGAAAGCUAUUUAGGUAGCGCCUCGUGAAUUCAUCUUCGGGGGUAGAGCACUGUUUCGGCUAGGGGGUCAUCCCGACUUACCAACCCGAUGCAAACUACGAAUACCGAAGAAUGUUAUCACGGGAGACACACGGCGGGUGCUAACGUCCGUCGUGAAGAGGGAAACAACCCAGACCGCCAGCUAAGGUCCCAAAGUCAUGGUUAAGUGGGAAACGAUGUGGGAAGGCACAGACAGCCAGGAUGUUGGCUUAGAAGCAGCCAUCAUUUAAAGAAAGCGUAAUAGCUCACUGGUCGAGUCGGCCUGCGCGGAAGAUGUAACGGGGCUAAACCAUGCACCGAAGCUGCGGCAGCGACACUAUGUGUUGUUGGGUAGGGGAGCGUUCUGUAAGCCUGCGAAGGUGUGCUGUGAGGCAUGCUGGAGGUAUCAGAAGUGCGAAUGCUGACAUAAGUAACGAUAAAGCGGGUGAAAAGCCCGCUCGCCGGAAGACCAAGGGUUCCUGUCCAACGUUAAUCGGGGCAGGGUGAGUCGACCCCUAAGGCGAGGCCGAAAGGCGUAGUCGAUGGGAAACAGGUUAAUAUUCCUGUACUUGGUGUUACUGCGAAGGGGGGACGGAGAAGGCUAUGUUAGCCGGGCGACGGUUGUCCCGGUUUAAGCAUGUAGGCUGGUUAUCCAGGCAAAUCCGGAUAAUCAAGGCUGAGGUGUGAUGACGAGGCACUACGGUGCUGAAGUAACAAAUGCCCUGCUUCCAGGAAAAGCCUCUAAGCAUCAGGUAACAUCAAAUCGUACCCCAAACCGACACAGGUGGUCAGGUAGAGAAUACCAAGGCGCUUGAGAGAACUCGGGUGAAGGAACUAGGCAAAAUGGUGCCGUAACUUCGGGAGAAGGCACGCUGGUGUGUAGGUGAAGCCCCUGCGGGUGGAGCUGAGACCAGUCGAAGAUACCAGCUGGCUGCAACUGUUUAUUAAAAACACAGCACUGUGCAAACACGAAAGUGGACGUAUACGGUGUGACGCCUGCCCGGUGCCGGAAGGUUAAUUGAUGGGGUUAUCCGUAAGGAGAAGCUCUUGAUCGAAGCCCCGGUAAACGGCGGCCGUAACUAUAACGGUCCUAAGGUAGCGAAAUUCCUUGUCGGGUAAGUUCCGACCUGCACGAAUGGCGUAAUGAUGGCCAGGCUGUCUCCACCCGAGACUCAGUGAAAUUGAACUCGCUGUGAAGAUGCAGUGUACCCGCGGCAAGACGGAAAGACCCCGUGAACCUUUACUAUAGCUUGACACUGAACAUUGAGCCUUGAUGUGUAGGAUAGGUGGGAGGCUUUGAAGCGUGGACGCCAGUCUGCGUGGAGCCAACCUUGAAAUACCACCCUUUAAUGUUUGAUGUUCUAACGUUGGCCCCUGACCGGGGUUGCGGACAGUGUCUGGUGGGUAGUUUGACUGGGGCGGUCUCCUCCCAAAGCGUAACGGAGGAGCACGAAGGUUAGCUAAUCCUGGUCGGACAUCAGGAGGUUAGUGCAAUGGCAUAAGCUAGCUUGACUGCGAGCGUGACGGCGCGAGCAGGUGCGAAAGCAGGUCAUAGUGAUCCGGUGGUUCUGAAUGGAAGGGCCAUCGCUCAACGGAUAAAAGGUACUCCGGGGAUAACAGGCUGAUACCGCCCAAGAGUUCAUAUCGACGGCGGUGUUUGGCACCUCGAUGUCGGCUCAUCACAUCCUGGGGCUGAAGUAGGUCCCAAGGGUAUGGCUGUUCGCCAUUUAAAGUGGUACGCGAGCUGGGUUUAGAACGUCGUGAGACAGUUCGGUCCCUAUCUGCCGUGGGCGCUGGAGAAUUGAGGGGGGCUGCUCCUAGUACGAGAGGACCGGAGUGGACGCAUCACUGGUGUUCGGGUUGUCAUGCCAAUGGCACUGCCCGGUAGCUAAAUGCGGAAGAGAUAAGUGCUGAAAGCAUCUAAGCACGAAACUUGCCCCGAGAUGAGUUCUCCCUGAGACUUUAAGUCUCCUGAAGGAACGUUGAAGACGACGACGUUGAUAGGCCGGGUGUGUAAGCGCAGCGAUGCGUUGAGCUAACCGGUACUAAUGAACCGUGAGGCUUAACCUUACAACGCCGAAG
rnacentral:rRNA from 1 species